AUCAGAGAGCUAGCUUCAUGCUUUGGGUGGGGAAAAAAGACAUAGAAUUGGGUUUUUUUUCUUCAUAGGGUUUUGGGAAGACUGAGGCAAUCGUUGCUGAAGUCAGUGUUGUAAUGGUAAAUCGGGAUUUUUAAUAAAGUGGGUUUGAUUACUCUUGACUAUUUUGUGAAAUCGAGUUACGUCUGUGAUUGAAGAAUUAAAAGGGUGUCUAUAGGAUUGAAUAUGCGGAGUGAAUGAAAAUUGUUGGAUUAAUCUAACGAGACAGUGAGUGGAUACAAGAUCGUGAAUAUAAAGCGGUAU
rnacentral:lncRNA from 1 species